rnacentral:rRNA from 1 species
AAAGGAAUUGACGGGGGCCCGCACAAGCGGAGGAGCAUGUGGUUUAAUUCGAUGAUACGCGAGGAACCUUACCUGGGCUCGAACGUGUAUGGAAUUAUGCCGAAAGGUAUAAGCCAGCAAUGGCCGUAUACGAGGUGCUGCAUGGUUGUCGUCAGCUCGUGCCGUGAGGUGUUAGGUUAAGUCCUGCAACGAGCGCAACCCUUACCUUUAGUUGCCAGCAUGUAAUGAUGGGGACUCUAAAGGAACUGCCUACGCAAGUAGUGAGGAAGGUGGGGAUGACGUCAAAUCAGCACGGCCCUUAUGUCCAGGGCGACACACGUGCUACAAUGGCCGAUACAAAGGGCAGCUACCGGGCGACCGGAUGCGAAUCUUUAAAAUCGGUCUCAGUUCGGAUCGGAGUCUGCAACUCGACUCCGUGAAGUCGGAUUCGCUAGUAAUCGCGCAUCAGCCAUGGCGCGGUGAAUACGUUCCCGGGCCUUGCACACACCGCCCGU